GGAGAUAUAUAUGGGGGGGAUGGUACUGCUUUGAAAACAAUAUUAGAUAUGUGGUCGGACUGGGCACUCGUAUCAAGUUUUGGCAGGAUGUCUGGCGUUGAGAGCGUUCUUUGGAGAGGGCCUUCCCAACUCUUUAUAACAUUGCGGCUAAUAGGGAGGCUACGAUAGCAGAUCUGUGUGUGUUUGCCCAAGACUCUUACCAUGGCCUUUUUUGUGUGGACUGCUGCACUUGGAAAAAUUCUAACCACGGAUAAUUUAAGGAAGAGGGGCCUCAUCGUGAUGGAUUGGUGUUAUUUGUGCAAAAAACAUGAAGAAUCAGUGGACCAUCUACUAUUGCAUUGUGAGGUGACGAAAGAGUUGUGGAAUGGGAUAUUUAGUAGGGUGGAUGUAGCGUGGGUUAUGCUGGCAAAGGUGGUUGACUUGUUUGCUUGUUGGAAGGGUCUACAAGGUUGUUUACAGGGAGCAGCAGCUUGGAAGAUGAUCCCAUUGUGCAUUAUGUGGUGUAUUUGGAUGGAAAGGAAUGCACGAUGCUUUGAAGAUAGGGAGCGAACAAUGGAGGAGCUUCAGAAUUUUUUUCUGCACACUUUACUCUUAUGGUUCUCAGCCAUUGUUCUUAAUGGAAAUAGUGUACAUGAGUUCUUAGCUUUAAUUUAGUUUUUUAAGAAUGUAUUUAGGUGUUUUCUAUUGUAUACUCCCUGUGUAUAUAGGCCAUGCCUAUUUUCAUUCAUAUUAAUGAAAAUUACUUUUUACUGAUGAAAAAAAAAAAAAAAAAAAGUUUGAGGCCCUUCACAAUGUAAUACAACCAAAGCUUAAGGUGCCUUAGAAGUUUUCCAUCCCCACAAGUUCUUUGUCUCCAGAUUCGGUUUAUAUUUCUUUUCUCCUUGCGAGAAUCUAUCUAGCACAGAAGGGCCCAAAUUGGAGGUAGCAAUAGUCCCCUAAGAACCAAAUUUUGUGCAAGUGGAUGGUCUUCCAUUUUGGUAUGGAUGUUGACUUGGUAGCUGAUCCUGUAGACAAAGUGACCUUUCAUAUGCCUUUAGUUGCGAUAAGGUUUUGACAUUACCCAUGGGUUAUAUUAUGAGGUUGAAUCUGGCCCUCAAGAGACACGAGUUUAAAGUGAAGUUAUACUAUAAGGUUUUGGCAUUACCCAUAGGUUUCCCUUUUCCCUUGGAAGAGCAUUUGGAGAGUGAAGGCCUCUUCAAGAGUGGCUUUCUUCAUGUGGACGAUGGCAUUGGUAAAGAUUUUGAUUGGACUUCAUGAGGAAGCAGAAUAUCACUUUGGUGGGAUGUUGUUGUAUGUGAUGGAAAAAUGGUAAAUGCAUUGAACAUAUUUUUCUUCAUUGUGAUGUAGCGAGAAAUUAUGGUGUUUGCUAUUCAAGGAAUUUGGUGUUGAGUGGAUUAUGCCUAGAAGGGUGAUUGAAUCGUUAGUGAGGUGGAGAGGAUAGCAGGGACAUGAUAUAGUUUUGGUAGCAUGGAGGUUGGCUCUUUUAUUUGCUUAAUGUGAUGUAGUUGGAGAGAGCAGAAUGCAAGGACCUUUGAAGAUAAUAAAAAAAAAAUAAUAAUAAUAAUAAUAAUAAUAAUAAUAACAAAGCUUCAGUGGUAGAGCUGACAAAGAUCACCCCCAACACCCUUUACUCAUGGAUAGUAGCACAUGAUACUGUGCUUUUUCUUGCUUUUCAGAAUGUUUAAAUUAUUGAUUUUAUUCUGCAUAGGGGCUCUCUUAUAUACAUCCUGGUUUGGUUUGGUAGAUGAGAUGAUCUCAUCUCAUAUAAUCAUUACCACUUUUCCAAACUCCUACACAAAAUACAAUAAACAAUUCAAAUUUUUAAAUCCCAAAACAAAAAUUAUAUUAAAAAAUUAUAUUCUAAUAAUAUUUUAUUUAAC